CCAGUAGUCACGAAUAUCUCCUUCUUCCCUAAUCCAAGAUUGGAGAAAGAAGAUCUAAGAGGGGCCGAUGGGUAAUGUAGUCGGAAAUCCAUAAUAGAGUCCAACCACAAAGUGAAGGAGAUAGACGGUUUAAACAAAAAAAGACCCAAAAUUUCAAACAUGUAUCUAGAAUCACUAGAAAACUACAAACAAAAAUAG
rnacentral:rRNA from 1 species